UGGGGGAUAUUGCACAAUGGAGGAAACUCUGAUGCAGCGACGCCGCGUGAGUGAAGAAGUAUUUCGGUAUGUAAAGCUCUAUCAGCAGGGAAGAAAGACCUCGAAAGAGGGGAUGACGGUACCUGAGUAAGAAGCCCCGGCUAACUACGUGCCAGCAGCCGCGGUAAUACGUAGGGGGCGAGCGUUAUCCGGAUUUACUGGGUGUAAAGGGAGCGCAGACGGAAGAGCAAGUCUGAUGUGAAAACCCGGGGCUCAACCCCGGGCCUGCAUUGGAAACUGUCAUACUGGAGUGUCGGAGAGGUAAGCGGAAUUCCUAGUGUAGCGGUGAAAUGCGUAGAUAUUAGGAGGAACACCAGUGGCGAAGGCGGCUUACUGGACGACAACUGACGCUGAGGCUCGAAAGCGUGGGGAGCAAACAGGAUUAGAUACCCUGGUAG
rnacentral:rRNA from 1 species